rnacentral:rRNA from 1 species
UGAACGCUAGCGGCAGGCUUAAUACAUGCAAGUCGUGGGGCAGCAUGAGUAGCAAUACUUGAUGGCGACCGGCAAACGGGUGAGGAACACGUACACAACCUUCCUUCAAGGCGGGGGAAAUUAGCCCCAAGAGAAAUUUGGAUUAAUACCCCAUAAUAUAUUUGAUAAGGCAUCUUAUUAAUAUUAAAAGCUUCGGCACUUGAUGAUGGGUGUGCGGCUGAUUAGAUAGUUGGCGGGGUAACGGCCCACCAAGUCUACGAUCAGUAGCUGAUGUGAGAGCAUGAUCAGCCACACGGGCACUGAGACACGGGCCCGACUCCUACGGGAGGCAGCAGUAAGGAAUAUUGGACAAUGGACGAAAGUCUGAUCCAGCCAUGCCGCGUGAAGGAUUAAGGUCCUCUGGAUUGUAAACUUCUUUAUAUGGGACGAAAAAGGGCAUUCUUGUUCACUUGACGGUACCAUAUGAAUAAGCACCGGCUAACUCCGUG